rnacentral:lncRNA from 1 species
AAAAAAGAAAGAAAAUCCAGCUGAUCAUAUGAAAAAAACAAAAAUAUUCUGAAAAUCCAUCACAUGUAAAAUAUAUGCACCAAUGUUUCAAUAAAUUGUUCUCAAGGAAAAUCACCAGGAAAAUAACGAGUGUAAACCUUAUCAUCAAAGAAGAAAAACAAAACCAUUCAUGCAUGACUUGGGUGACAUGCCAGACAAAAAUUCCCAAAGGCAUAAGAGAAAACCCCCAAUCAACUCUUACAUUGUGUCUGCAAUAAGAGAUUAACUAAGGUGUUUCCCAAUGUACUACUGUGGCUACCCUAAACAUUUGUCAUCACAUAAGCAACCAAAACUGCUCUGAAAAAACAUUCUUUACAGAUUAUAGAGAUAUAAAUACAGUUGAUAUAUUUUCAUGUAAUCUAUUAUACGAGUCUACUAUAUCCCGUUAGGAUUAGGAUACAACUUCUUGUAUAAAUACUCUCUUUUGUGAAUCAAUAUACAAACACUUAUCCAUUCUAUUUCAUGGUAUCAGAGAAUGAAGAUUCUCAAACCUAAAAUCUCUUCUUUGAUUGUUUUUUUUCUCUACACCUAUAUAUAAUCGAUUAUAUCGAACAAGGCCUUUUUGUCUUCUGUUACAUCUAUUACCACUUCUCCCGUGAUGGAGAUCUCUUCUUUGGAUCCUCACUAUACAACAUAUAUUUAAAACCAAUGAUUAAAUAAUUUAUAAAAAACACAUACUUAUAAUUUUUAUUAUAAAGCAGAUAUAAACCUAAUCAUGUUCAAAAACAUAUUUUAAACAUUGUUAUAAUCUUACAAUAAUCAAAUACUAAUUAACUAGGUGUUUUGCCCACACAUGCGGACAUAAAAGUCUUACGAAUACUUAUUAAUUUUUGUUUUAUUGGAAAAAUAAUAGUAUAGAUUAACUGAAGUUAAUUUUUUUAACCACAAAAUAUUUUGAUUUAUCUUAGUAUAAAUAAAAUAUGGGAAAAAAAACAAACAGUUUGUUUUUCAUAAUAUAAUUAGUUUUUGGUAGGCCUUAGUUUUUUAACCAAACCAAACUUCCCAAACCAAACAAAAAUUUUGGUUAGGUCGUCCAGAAGUUUGGUUAAAUAUUGUAGGUUUUCUAAAAAAAUGUCGGUUUCAUUUCAGUUUGGUUCGACAAUCGGAUCUUCUUAAAAGAGUUAUAACUAUUCAAAACAUUUUUCGAAUAACUAACCGAAUUUAUAUAUAAUUUUAACAAAAUUAUACAGAUAUCUAACUGUAAAAAAACAUGUUGGUAGGAUUUUUAAAACCGAACUAACCGAAUACUGUACCAAACUUUGUUUCUUGUUAAUUCGGUAAUAUGUAUGUUGAACCGAACUAACCGAAAAUUGAACUACCAGAACUGAAUAUUCCGAAUUAACCAAACCCGCAUGCUAAGCUUUCGGUAUUGUUUUGAUAAAACCGGACCGAAGUACACAUCUUUCAUAAAAAAUAAAAAGUAAAUGUUAAUUAAAACCUCUUUAGAAAUUGCUGACACUUGGAUGACCAAAGUUUGACCACAUGAAAUUGUUACCAUUUAGGAAAUUUUGACCACAUAAAACUGUUACCAAAACGAAACGGUUGAUGUUUACUAUAAGAAGGCCACGCCUCCCUUCUAUUCAGCACAAACAUUACCUAGUUUCUUUUGAAGAAAACAGUUUUUCCUUUACAUCUAUAAAUAAAUUAUUCAUUACUUUAUUUAAAAUAUCCCAAAUUAUAUAAAUCUUACAUUACAUUAUUUGAAUUCCAAAUAGUUAUUCUGUUUUCAACGAUCUUUUGUUUUUAUGCGAUUUUUGUUAAUAUUUCAGGGUUUUCUCCCCAACGAAAAUGAGUGACUAUAGUCAAAACGACAAUGGUAUAAAACCGAUCAGCGAGACCUCUUCUUGAACCAGCUUAACAACUCCUCAGUCUGAACGAAGAUCUGGUGGUAUCGUUGAAAGAGUGUCUGCAAGGAUAGGAAGAGAUAUUCCACCACUGAAUAUGGAACACAUCAACCCGACUCUUGUUUGCUUUCCUGUUAGCGUAACAACUCCAGGAUUCAGUAGUCUCUCUCCAUCUUUGCAAUCUCCAAAUAUGUUUACUGACUCUUCUUCACAGGUAAGUAACAAUGUGUUUAAUAUAUUGAUCUCUACACAUUAUAUGUAUAUAUUAAUAUAUGAUAAAAACAAUUUUUUAUUGUCUUUGUGUAACUUAUGUUUCAAGAUUAUCCGUCCGAGUCCAAUCUCGAAUGAUGCGAUUCAGGAGAUGGUGGAAAGUUCAGGUGGCGCCCAUGCAACAAUGAUGAUAUCCAACAAGAAUCUUCCUCAUGAGCCAAUGGAAAUUGAUCUGUCUCCUCAAGGAUGUAAUAGAUUUAUAGUGUCUCGAACUGGCUUUCAGUUUUGAUUUUCCGAAUAAUAAUAUUGUUGUUAUUUACAGGUAAAAAAGGCAUUGCUGAUAUUCCAACGGAAGACUCUGUUGAUAUCACAUCUCAUGAAUCUAAUGCUGAUCCUGUUGGUGCUCCUUUACUCCCUUCUUUUGAUUCUGAAGUUGUUGCUGAAAAGGAUGCUAUGAACCUGAUCUCCCUUAAAAGUGGUAGCGAAGACGAUGGCAAGGACAAAUAAUACAACCAAGAGGAAGACAAAGACAAAGAUCACAACAUUGUUGAAUAAUAAUAAUAAUUAUAAUAAUAAUAAUAAUAAUAAUAACAAUAAUAAUAAUAAUAAUAAUAAUAAUUGAUAUAUUGAAAAAUAUGUUUGACCUGAAUUACAUGAUGUACACAAUCUUGUACUUAUCCCCGUCAUUAUGAUUCUAGUAUAGAUUUUGAAUUCUUGGUUUAGAAUAAUUAUCAAUAUAAAAAAUUUGAUAAAUAUAAGAAAUUUAGACCUGAGAAAUGAGGAGAGAGUUACUCAAGAGGACGAACAUCGCACCUGACUGCAACCUCGGGGUAGCUGGCUCUUCAAAGUAUCCUCUCAAACAUAUCCUAAGCUCUAUCGCAACCAAUUUAUCCACUUUGAUCUUUGUCUUUUCUCUCAUAUCCUUACAAACUUCUUCGGUACAUGUUGUAAACACAGCCUUGGAUCGAUUCUUUGCAUUAGGUAACGGAACUCCAGAUUUCACCGUAUAUAAAAUGAAUGAAAAACUGCUGUUACAAAUAAACCAUAUAAAUACUAAAUUGCUUUUAUGAAGAGUAACUGAUUUAGAACACUUACCAAGAUCAAUUUUCUCCCAAACAUCAUCAAGAAACAAAAUGAACCGUGUCUUAAUAUCUCAAUGAUCUUUGCAGCUUACUCUCUUUCCUGUCCAAAUCCUAUCUGAAAAUCCAGUCUUCUCCCUAGUUGGUCAGAUCUAGAAGAGUAAGUAGACCCUGAUUCUAGUUGUCAAGCUUGUGAUAUUGUUGUAGGGUUUUUCUGGCUGGUUAACUUGUUAAUAAGUUUACCUGAAUGAAUCUCAUAUCUCUGGUUUGAGUAGAUUCUAACAUUCACUACAGGUACAUAUAUAUAUAUGUGUUAAGUGAGUAAGAUAAAAAGUACAACACUGUCCAGUUCAGGAACUAAAAAAAAAAAGGUUCUUCCAUUCCUUUAUGGUUUGUGGUGGGUAACGAUUGUGCUUGAUUUAAUAAUUAUUUCACGUUUAAUAAAAUGAAUUUCUAUAACUUAUCAUAAUUGUAGAAGACAUGAACUUGCUGUUUAUAAUAGUUAAAAAAACAUACAUAUAUAAACAAAAAAUAUAUUAAAAACUAAAUUAGAAGUCAUUAAAGAAUACUCAGCUAGAAGUUAAAUAUACUCUAUAAAUGUGUUAUACCAUGCAUGCACAUAUAGGUUUCCCAUUUGUAUUGAUAUCAAAAAUAUCAUACCUGCAAUAGGGCCGGAUUAACUUUUAGAAAAAAACUUGUAAUGCCCUUCUCAAAAAUACAAAUUUGUGCCCUCGUUCUUCAUAUAAUGUUUUUAUAAUGCCCUAUAUACAACUAAACUUUUUUGUAAAAUUUGGGAUGUCCUAAGCGGCCGGUUCCUCUUUUUGUAAUUCGGACCAGGCUUGACCUGCAAAUAUUUGGUCACGGUAACAUCCAGCUAAUUUUAAUCUUAUAAAAAAAAGAAAGAAAAUCCAGCUGAUCAUAUGAAAAAAACAAAAAUAUUCUGCAAAUCCAUCACAUGUAAAAUAUACACACCAAUGUUUCAACAAAUUGUUCUCAAGAAAAAUCACCAGGAAAAUAACGAGUGUAAACCUUAUCAUCAAAGAAAAACAAAACAAAACCAUUCAUCCAUGACUUGGGUGACAUGCCGGACCAAAAUUCCUAAAGGCAUAAGAGAAAACCCCCAAUCAAC